GGUUAAGCGACUAAGCGUACACGGUGGAUGCCCUGGCAGUCAGAGGCGAUGAAGGACGUGCUAAUCUGCGAUAAGCGCCGGUAAGGUGAUAUGAACCGUUAUAACCGGCGAUUUCCGAAUGGGGAAACCCAGUGUGAUUCGUCACACUAUCAUUAACUGAAUCCAUAGGUUAAUGAGGCGAACCGGGGGAACUGAAACAUCUAAGUACCCCGAGGAAAAGAAAUCAACCGAGAUUCCCCCAGUAGCGGCGAGCGAACGGGGAGGAGCCCAGAGCCUGAAUCAGCAUGUGUGUUAGUGGAAGCGUCUGGAAAGGCGCGCGAUACAGGGUGACAGCCCCGUACACAAAAGCGCAUGUGCUGUGAGCUCGAUGAGUAGGGCGGGACACGUGGUAUCCUGUCUGAAUAUGGGGGGACCAUCCUCCAAGGCUAAAUACUCCUGACUGACCGAUAGUGAACCAGUACCGUGAGGGAAAGGCGAAAAGAACCCCGGCGAGGGGAGUGAAAAAGAACCUGAAACCGUGUACGUACAAGCAGUGGGAGCACCCUUUGGGGU
rnacentral:rRNA from 1 species